GGCCAGGUAGCUCAGGUGGUAGAGCAGGGGACUGAAAAUCCCCGUGUCGGCGGUUCAAGUCCGUAUCUGGCCACCA
rnacentral:tRNA from 1 species